CCGCCCUUUUUUUAUGCUAGUGUUUUGUGUGGAACUUUUGCAGUAAAUUUGGCUCUGAAAUCAGUAACAGAAAGGUUUCCAAACAAAAUUGUAAGCUGAUAACACUAAUUUAUAUUACACUGCAGCAAAACCUAUGCACAUUGAAUCUUCAAACCCCACCCUACAAUUGAUAUUGCUGCUCUCUUCUUCAAACUCCAAGGCAUCUACCUAAAACAAAGCAAAACAAAAAGUUCUACAUACUUUAUAAAAAAACCUUUCCAGUUUUCAACCCACAUCUAGAAAUCAUCUUUUUUUUUAGGCUGAAGAAAUAAGUAAAAGUAGAGCAAAAAGGCUGCUGCUUUUUUUUGGAUCGGAAUCCCAUGCCAUAUGACUUGAGAUUUUCACAAGAAGGAUAAACACAUGGGCAGAGAAUUGAGUUGCUUCUUUUGUUUUCUUCUACUGAUUCUUGCACAGUGGGAGAUUAAUCUAUGUUAUGCAAAAAGAGAUCAAAAUGCUCCUUUUUCUGCUAUGAAUUCCGUUAAAAUCCAUAAGGGCUCCAAAGGAAAUGCAAUGAAGAAGGAUGGAAAUGAAAUUUUUGGUGCAGAAAUGAGGAAAGUUUACACAGGUCCAAAUCCUCUACACAACAGAUAAGUAGCAAUAAAAAUAUAUCAGGCAUAAAUUCUCUCAUUCAAGCCAUGAUAUAUUUUUGUUUUUAAUUUUUCUGACCAUUUCUUUCCUUUGAUAUCCCCUCAAAAUUUCACCUUUAGCGACGUAAAACCGGAUUGCAUCGUCAAUGAGAAUAACUUCAUCGUUGGGUUGUCGAAAAAGGUUCGUCAAGGGAACAUCUGUCAUCUGUGGGCUUCUGUUAACCUUACAUUUGUAUAUGAAAGUUAUUUAUGACUUUUUGUUAAGGAAAAUAUGUUUAUUUGUUUGAAGAAGACGUAUAAAACAUGAAAUAGUAUUUUUCAGUUCACAAUUUUCUGAAUAAUAGUGCCAUUAGAUAAUGCAGUUUUUGGUAUGAUUAAUGCCUGAUAUUUUCUACAGUUGUCUGUGGAAUUCCUGUUGUGGCA
rnacentral:lncRNA from 1 species